rnacentral:rRNA from 1 species
GACGAACGCUGGCGGCGUGCCUAAUACAUGCAAGUCGAACGCUGAAGGAGGAGCUUGCUCUUCUGGAUGAGUUGCGAACGGGUGAGUAACGCGUAGGUAACCUGCCUGGUAGCGGGGGAUAACUAUUGGAAACGAUAGCUAAUACCGCAUAACAGUAGAUGUUGCGUGACAUUUACUUAAAAGGUGCAAUUGCAUCACUACCAGAUGGACCUGCGUUGUAUUAGCUAGUUGGUGGGGUAACGGCUCACCAAGGCGACGAUACAUAGCCGACCUGAGAGGGUGAUCGGCCACACUGAGACUGAGACACGGCCCAGACUCCUACGGGAGGCAGCAGUAGGGAAUCUUCGGCAAUGGACGGAAGUCUGACCGAGCAACGCCGCGUGAGUGAAGAAGGUUUUCGGAUCGUAAAGCUCUGUUGUAAGAGAAGAACGAGUGUGAGAGUGGAAAGUUCACACUGUGACGGUAGCUUACCAGAAAGGGACGGCUAACUACGUG